rnacentral:rRNA from 1 species
GAUGAACGCUGGCGGCGUGCCUAAUACAUGCAAGUCGAGCGAACAGAUGAGGAGCUUGCUCCUCUGACGUUAGCGGCGGACGGGUGAGUAACACGUGGAUAACCUACCUAUAAGACUGGGAUAACUUCGGGAAACCGGAGCUAAUACCGGAUAAUAUAUUGAACCGCAUGGUUCAAUAGUGAAAGACGGUUUUGCUGUCACUUAUAGAUGGAUCCGCGCCGCAUUAGCUAGUUGGUAAGGUAACGGCUUACCAAGGCAACGAUGCGUAGCCGACCUGAGAGGGUGAUCGGCCACACUGGAACUGAGCCACGGUCCAGACUCCUACGGGAGGCAGCAGUAGGGAAUCUUCCGCAAUGGGCGAAAGCCUGACGGAGCAACGCCGCGUGAGUGAUGAAGGUCUUCGGAUCGUAAAGCUCUGUUAUUAGGGAAGAACAAAUGUGUAAGUAACUAUGCACGUCUUGACGGUACCUAAUCAGAAAGCCACGGCUAACUACGUG